GUUAACAGCUCCUAAAUUCACAGUCUUUGGUUGCAUAACAAUGAAGUCUAAUAUCAUUACCAGUCCCCGACUGGAUGAAAAAGCAAGACCAAACUGGAUGCUGCUCUCCAGAAAGCUCAUGGAGUGCAAAGGCGGAUCGGACUGAGGGGCCACAGGAAAGCUCAAGCGACUCUCCAAACACCCGAAAAAGUAACCCGAGGACACAGGAGGACAGCACAGAAGAAUUAUCUACUAGAAGAACGAUACUGCAUAUUGGGAAAUCAGGAACCUGAGAAGCAUGAGACAAAGAAGAGGCAUCCCUUCACGCUCAGAAGACCAGCAUGAGAUAGAUAAAGAGGAGCCUGACGUCACCACGCACAGAAGAACAGCAACGACCCGAAGCCUCCACCUGGAGCACUUUAAACCGAAAUGAGUAUGACACCACUGGAAGGGACUUGAAGUACAAUUUAGGGAAGAUGACAGCAAGCGGGCCUUUUUUUUUUUUUCCUAUCUUCCUUUGAAAAGGUGGUUAGCUAAAAAAGAAAAUGUAGGCAUUAACUAUAGGAUUUGGAACAGAAAAAAAAAACCUAGUGAUUCCAAGACUUUAUAUUAUUCAGGCCUUAUAACUAAAAUGUACAUAUUAAAAGAUUAAUUUUGAGCUUCCUGGCAGAAUGUUUCUGGUCUGGUGUUGGGCUUGUUUUGAUCCUGUGCUUUCAAAAGUAUUAAUUCUAAAAACUGAAGUUGAUAAAAAAAAGUUACAAGAUUUAUAAGAAGUAAAAUGACUUAUAAUACAGAUUUAAAAUAAAAUAAGAUGAUCUUAAUUUGUCAUAAACAUAUCUUAGACUUAACUGAGUGUUUAAAUACUGAUAAAUCUAUAUACUGCCUUAUAAACCUAGGCAGUCUUAAUUUCUUUGAAAUCUAUUGCAGUGGUAGCUAGGGUCUACUGACAUGUUUCAUGAAACAUGAUUGAAACACAGCAUGAAGAUGGGCUAGGGAGACAGUUCAGUGAGUAAAAUACUUUCUUGUGCAAGAAUGAAGAUCUGAGUUUGGAUCCUCAGGCACAGUAGCACACACAUAACCUCAUGCUAGGAGAUAGAGACAGGUGGACUCAGGAAUUUUCUGGCCACACAUUUUAGAAAAAGAAAGUGAGCUCCAGUUUCAGCUAAAGAUCCUAUGACAUUAUAUAAUAUUAAUAAUAAUGUCGAGAGGAGAUUAAGGAAGAUACCCCAGCGUUAAAUCUAGUCUCUACUCAUACCUGCAUAGAUAAGUACACACACACACACACACACACACACGCGCGCGCGCGCACACACACACACACACACACACACACACACACACACGCAAACAUGCAAAUACGUAAGUAAGGUAUUAAGAGCUGUUUGAGCUGGGCGGUGGUGGAACACGCCUUUAUUCCCAGCACUCAGGAGGCAGAGGCAGGCAAAUCUCUGUGAGUUUGGGACCAGCCUGGUCUAAAGAGCUAGUUCCAAGACAGCUAUGGCUGUUAUACAGAGAAACCCUGUUUCGAAAAACAAAGAGCUGUUUGAUCUUCUAAAGAAAGUGUUUUUAUUUUUAAAGAUUCUAUUUAUUUCUAUGUGCGUGUCGUGUGUGUGUGUGUGUGUGUGUGUGUGUGUGUGUGCAGGUGCACACCAGCAGCAUAGAUAAGAUUCCCCAGAGCUGGAGUUAGAAGCAUUUGGCGGUCUGAAUUCUGGUUGGUCCUCAUGACUGAGCAGCAAGCACUCCUAACUGCUAAGCCGUCUUUCCAGCCCCUAGAGCAAGUAUUAGAGUAUAGAGAGACAAUAAAUGUCUAAAUGUUUUACUGAAAGUUCAAUCUGUUUAUAUAAAACAGCAUUACUCAGGAUGAUAAGAUGUAAGUUUUGUUAAGUUACAUAGUUUGUUUGCUGUUUUUCUUGUGCUGAGACAGGGCCUUAUAUAGUCUAAGCUACCCUUGACUCUCUGUGUAUCUGUGGAUAGACUUAAAUUCUACCUCUUAAGUGGAAAUACAGCAUGAACCAUCACACACAGCCUAUGAGUCACAAAUUCUGUAUUGUGAUUUUGAUUAGAAUUUUCUUGAAAAAUUCUAGAAAGAGGUUAAUUUUUAAGUAGCCAAAUUUAAAAGAAAAUGAGAUGAUAUGACAUGCUUUAUAUUAACCAAAAUACUUCUAAUGGACAUAAAAACCUUUUAUUAGAUUAUUCCUAUGUGUUUGUCCUCUGGGAAUACUCUCUGGGAAUAAUAUAUCAACAAAUAUUAUUCGCAAACGUGAAAUGUUAAAAUUAAGGCUAUGACACAUAUAAGUUAUAGAUAUUUUUGUCAAGUAUGAUGUUUAUACUAAAUUUUCUUUUCAUAUUGGAAAUUAUAGGAGAUGUAUUCUGCACAAACAGUAACAUUCAGGAUCUAGGUGAACUUAGCCCGUGUAUAUUAGAAAAAGGACUAUGCUAUAAAGUCUUAUAAAAAAGAGAGCUUUCCAAUACUUGCAUUUAAAGGGUGAUUAAAUUAUUAAAAUAUGGGGAUGGGGAGGUGGCUCAAUGGUUAAAAGCAUAUGCCACUCUUUCAGAAGACAGGAGUUCAGGUCCAAUAACGAGAGCAAGUGACUCAUAACUCCAGCUCCAGGGGAUCUGACACCCUCUACUGGCAUCUGCAGGUACUGCAUUCGAAUCCACAAAUGCACACUCACACACAUAUAUACAUAUGAAUAUAAAUAAAAUCUCUUUUGUUAAAAGUUCAGAAAUUGCCUCUUCCAGGGACAGUGCUUACAGGCACUCAGAAUGGUCCUACGUUUCACAUACUGUUGUAGGUUUUCCUACAAUCCAGUCUCUAGCAAAACUAGGUAUCUUGAACCCCUGGCAAUAGGAUUGUUUACCUUUAUAUCAAGAGGGUCGGGAAAGCACCAAAAUCUGCAUGUGGUGUGUAUCCAGGCAAACUUGGAUGGUUUUAUAAAGUCCUUAUGAGAUUGUCUAAAACAGAGAAGCAGUCAGUAGGGCUUGCAAUUGUCCUGUUUGUGCUCAGCAUGCCCAAGACAGUGUUGAGCGUGCUUCCUUAUUGAAAAGCAGAAAAUCAUAGUGAAAGUGUUGGAGGCACAAGCAGAGUCAGAAAGCAAUGAGUAUGAAGCUACAUGAUAAAAAUCAAGGCUUGUUCAAAAGAGAAGAAAAGUUCAGAUAUGCUCCCAAUUUUUUAUCAAGCAAAUAAAAUAUAAUUUUAAGAAAUGAACUUAGGACUAGCUUAUAAGUACAGAAACUUUUGCAUGGUUUCUGGUAUUUGCUCCAUGUGAAAUUAUGAUUCUUUGUCAUGUUGAGAUGAACUGAUUUAACUCUUAAAAUAAUAAUAAAGUUGUCCCUCAAAAUAAUUCAUUACCGGUAGAUAGUACAUUUUGUAAUGCAAUAAGAUUGAAUACUUUAAUAUUUAAAUUGGUAUGUAUGUACAUUGUGAAGUUUUCAAGGUGAACCCAGAACUGCUAACAAAAAGACAGUUUGAGCUAUAUCUCUCUGUUCAUUGGGUCAUUAGACACAAAAUUUGUGUUGUAACAAAAAAUGUUCUUAUGAUAUGCUACAUGGAAUAAUGAUGUCUAAGUCACUGACAGAUGCAACAUGAUGAAAAUAUUGGAGACUU